rnacentral:rRNA from 1 species
AACGAACGCUGGCGGCAGGCCUAACACAUGCAAGUCGAACGCCCGUAGCAAUACGGGAGUGGCAGACGGGUGAGUAACGCGUGGGAACGUGCCCUUCGGUUCGGAAUAACUCAGGGAAACUUGAGCUAAUACCGGAUACGUCCGUAAGGAGAAAGAUUUAUCGCCGAAGGAUCGGCCCGCGUCGGAUUAGCUAGUUGGUGGGGUAAAAGCUCACCAAGGCGACGAUCCGUAGCUGGUCUGAGAGGAUGAUCAGCCACACUGGGACUGAGACACGGCCCAGACUCCUACGGGAGGCAGCAGUGGGGAAUAUUGGACAAUGGGCGAAAGCCUGAUCCAGCCAUGCCGCGUGAGUGAAGAAGGCCUUAGGGUUGUAAAGCUCUUUCAGCGGGAAGAUAAUGACGGUACCCGCAGAAGAAGUCCCGGCUAACUUCGUGCCAGCAGCCGCAGU